rnacentral:snRNA from 1 species
AUUUCAAUUUCUAAUCAAUACCCGGAUAAAUCUUUCGCCUUUUACUAAAGAUUUCCGUGGUUAGGAGCACUGAUGAGUCUAUAUGACUUAUUUUUC